rnacentral:rRNA from 1 species
CUAAGCAUAUCAAUAAGCGGAGGAAAAGAAACUAACAGGGAUUCCCCUAGUAACUGCGAGUGAAGCGGGAAGAGCUCAAAUUUAAAAUCUGGCGGCUCUGUCGUCCGAGUUGUAAUUUAGAGAAGUGUUUUCCGCGCUGGACCGUGUACAAGUCUCCUGGAACGGAGCGUCAUAGAGGGUGAGAAUCCCGUCUUUGACACGGACCCCCAGUGCUCUGUGAUACGCUCUCGAAGAGUCGAGUUGUUUGGGAAUGCAGCUCAAAAUGGGUGGUGAACUCCAUCUAAAGCUAAAUAUUGGCGAGAGACCGAUAGCGAACAAGUACCGUGAGGGAAAGAUGAAAAGCACUUUGGAAAGAGAGUGAAACAGUACGUGAAAUUGCUGAAAGGGAAACGCUUGAAGUCAGUCGCGUCCGCCGGAAUUCAGCCCUCGUGGUGUACUUUCCGACGGACGGGCCAGCAUCACUUUUGACCGCCGGAAAAGGGCGGAGGGAAUGUGGCACCUCCGGGUGUGUUAUAGCCCUCCGUCGUAUACGGUGAUUGGGAGUGAGGACCGCCUAUCUUGUAGGAUGCUGGCGUAAUGGCUUUAAACGACCCGUCUUGAAACACGGACCAAGGAGUCUAACAUGCCCGCGAGUGUUCGGGUGGAAAACCCGUGCGCGCAAUGAAAGUGAAAGUUGGGAAGGCUGUCGUGGCCUGCACCGACGCCCGGACUUGAGAUUUAUCGACGGUUCUGCGGUAGAGCGUGUAUGUUGGGACCCGAAAGAUGGUGAACUAUGCCUGAAUAGGGUGAAGCCAGAGGAAACUCUGGUGGAGGCUCGUAGCGAUUCUGACGUGCAAAUCGAUCGUCAAAUUUGGGUAUAGGGGCGAAAGACUAAUCGAACCAUCUAGUAGCUGGUUCCUGCCGAA